rnacentral:misc_RNA from 1 species
UUUCCGUAGGUGAACCUGCGGAAGGAUCAUUAUUGUAUAACCGGGGUGCAAUGGUUGUCGCUGACCCGAAAGGUCGUGCACGCCUGAGUGCCUUCACACACAUCCAUCUCACCCCUAUGUGCACCACCGCGUGGGUCCCCCUUUGGCUUGUUCGGAGGGGGGCUUACGUUUUCACACAAACUUUGUAUGCAGUGUAGAAUGUAUUUUUUGUUUUUGCGAUCACGCAAUCAAUACAACUUUCAACAACGGAUCUCUUGGCUCUC